GACGAACGCUGGCGGCGUGCUUAACACAUGCAAGUCGAACGGAAAGGCCUCUUUCGGGGGGUACUCGAGUGGCGAACGGGUGAGUAACACGUGAGUAACCUGCCCUUGACUUUGGGAUAACUUCAGGAAACUGGGGCUAAUACCGGAUAGGAGCUCCUGCUGCAUGGUGGGGGUUGGAAAGUUUCGGCGGUUGGGGAUGGACUCGCGGCUUAUCAGCUUGUUGGUGGGGUAGUGGCUUACCAAGGCUUUGACGGGUAGCCGGCCUGAGAGGGGGACCGGCGACAUGGGGUAUGAGGGAGGGCCCAGUGUCGUACGUGAGGGAGGAGGGGCGAAGAGUGUACAAGGGGCCGAAGCGUGUGCCGGAAUCGCCGCGGGUGUGAUGUCGUUAUUGGGGUUGGGAAGGGGGUUAGAAUGCGCCGAACGGGGAGCGACGGUAAGGGGUAAAGAAGCAACGGCUAACUACGUG
rnacentral:rRNA from 1 species